UACGGAGGAUGCAAGCGUUAUCCGGAAUGAUUGGGCGUAAAGCGUCCGCAGGUGGCAGUUCAAGUCUGCUGUCAAAGACCGGGGCUUAACUUCGGAAAGGCAGUGGAAACUGAACAGCUAGAGUAUGGUAGGGGCAGAGGGAAUUCCUGGUGUAGCGGUGAAAUGCGUAGAGAUCAGGAAGAACAUCGGUGGCGAAGGCGGCUUUCUGGUCUGUAACUGACGCUGAGGCGCGAAAGCGUGGGGAGCAAACAGG
rnacentral:rRNA from 1 species